GAGGCACACACACACACCGACAGUCUAACCCAGAUCCUCUUUCCUGUGCUCAAUAGUUUUAUCCAUUAAUGUCUCAGCUAACUAGAAAUGAUAAUUGCAGGGGGGGAACCUUGUUUUGUGGUUCAACAAGAUGUUCACAUCUCCCCUGCCUUUCUGCCCCUCUCUUCUAGAGACGUGGCACAGAAAUAACCUCCUCUGAGGCGAUGCGACAAGUCCUGUGAGUUUCUUGUGAGUGGCAGAGCCUUUGGGCAGGAGACUUAAGGAGUGCUGAUCAUGAAAAGAACAAAUCCCAACAGGCCAAGUUUUCCAGGGAGAAGUUAGUAUUGAAUACGAAAGCGUCAAGGAUUGUGAGAUGCUGUAAUCUGGCUGCCCCUGCCUCCCUUUUGGUCUUUUCCAGCUACCAACAAACCUGUAGGCUUCAGUUGGUCCUAAUGCACUGAUGCGGUGGAGUAAGAACGAAGCAGAUAAGACAAGUCCAAACAAGUCCAGAUGGCGGCACAUGCGGGAGGACAUAUGUCCUUAAAGUUGGACUAAGACUUGGAGAUCAACUCAAAAGCAUCGUUCUAGUGACCAUUGUUAGGACUCCAAUGUCUCACCACAGCAGGUGGGACCUACCUGAGACAGACAGAAAAGACCUCAAAAGCCGAGGCUGAGAACAACCAAAUGCACUGAAUAAAGACCCUCUCUGUGGACUAGGCUUGUCCCUG
rnacentral:lncRNA from 1 species